rnacentral:rRNA from 1 species
UACGUAGGGUGCAAGCGUUGUCCGGAAUUAUUGGGCGUAAAGAGCUCGUAGGCGGUCUGUCGCGUCGGCUGUGAAAACCCGAGGCUCAACCUCGGGCCUGCAGUCGAUACGGGCAAACUGGAGUGUUGCAGGGGAGACUGGAAUUCCUGGUGUAGCGGUGAAAUGCGCAGAUAUCAGGAGGAACACCGGUGGCGAAGGCGGGUCUCUGGGCCGAUACUGACGCUGAGGAGCGAAAGCGUGGGGAGCGAACAGG